UGAGUAACACGUAUGCAAUCCACCUGUAACAGGGGGAUAACCCGGAGAAAUCCGGACUAAUAUCCCAUAAUAUGGGCGCUCCGCAUGGAGAGCCCAUUAAAGAGAGCAAUUUUGGUUACAGACGAGCAUGCGCUCCAUUAGCCAGUUGGCGGGGUAACGGCCCACCAAAGCGACGAUGGAUAGGGGUUCUGAGAGGAAGGUCCCCCACAUUGGAACUGAGACACGGUCCAA
rnacentral:rRNA from 1 species